UUUGUUCGAUUCUAACAACGGUACUGAACAUGAGUACGUCGUAACUUCUCUUCUCUGAAAGAAGUUAACCCAAAGUUUAUACUGUUAAAUGACUACCUUCUUUCACGUGUCUAUAACCUCUAUCUCUGAAAAUAUGGUUGAGAGGACGUUGCCGUCCUUCUACCGAUACGAGCAGAGUUUGCAACGUAAAAUUAACCACUAGUGGUAGUCAAUGGGGGACAGCACUUCUUGUACCGAAAAGUCUUCAUGUCGGUGUACCUGGUCUCAGAGAAGUGUUCCAAACAAGCGGAACCACAGGGAAUAUAACUUGAGUUACGAGUCCCAGCACGGUCUGGAUCAUAACGAGUCGAAAUAUUAACCUCUAUGUCUCUUGACCCUCUAGACGGAAUACAUGUACUCCUUCGAUAUAAGGUAUUUCGAUUAAGACCCAAGAGAAUGCUCAUAGUCGACCAACUACAAGGACUAAUAGCACCGUCUCCGCUCAGACGAGGAAGAGGAACCAAGAUGGUCUUACUUCCCCUCCGACUCAUAUAACAAUCACAGAUAUAAAUGUACGCAGACUAACCUAUGGGACGGUUAUUCUAAAGUUAUAAUUGGUGAAUGUUACCAGUCUUCGAAGAAUAAGCACUACAAUAGUCGUCUGCUACGUUCGGUACCUUAUAACUCGGUGGAACGUUCCAAUGAUGCCACCUGUUUAAGGUCCCAGUUGUUUUACUAAAAUAAAAUAACAGAGAACAGGCCUGGGCUAAACACCCAGUAGAAGCACUACAGUCUUCCGAAUAACACCGUUACAGGGCACGAGCCAACCCAAAUAUACACAAGACGGCGACAAGAGACAAACUUGUUACAAUACUUGACGUCGGUUGUAAGGUCGAAGAUGAGGUUUCCGGGCUAUUCGAACGCAAUUUAGAACUUCUCACGUGAGGCAAAUGUCUCGCUGGAAACCCUCUUCGACCUUUAUAAGUAAUAUAAUGACUACAACUUCUAUAACCUGUGAACCACUUGAAGUCUGACCUUGUAGAAGCGGUCUACGUUAGGUACGUUAUAAUACGUGGGGUACGUUUACGACUACGUCGGGGAGGACUUUGACCGUUACCACUAUAACAAAACCUAUUACGCUUCCUACCGUGUCUCUUUCUUUUACCACUCCGUUGACUACGACACUUGUUACUGUUCUAUCUCCUUCUAUGACAACUCAGUUUUCUACUAUGCCACGUCCUUCAUUUGUUCUACCUACUUCCAUUACACUGAUCUCUUCUGUUCUACCCCCUUCUUUCACGACUACUCCGAUUCCUGUUCUACCACCUUUGAUGACGACUUCACCGAUAACUCUUGUUGUAUCACCUUCAUUUACGGUUACACCGGUUCCUGUUCUACCUGCUUCUUUUACGGAACAGUUUCCCGCACCUCGUUCUAACUGGACUAUAUUAGCAACCGACCAACCCUAUCACUGGGAUGUAAGUAAAAAUACGUGCCUGAAACAGACGAAGUUUAUAAACUAAACCCGUUGACCCACAACAGAGUGUCCCAUUGUUGCCUUGAACUCAACGACUUCCGGCUUGGUUCCGUACGUUUUUGCAUACCAGGACAGUUUUCUUGUACGGAGGUAUACGGUGGACAAACUUGGAACUAGUCCAAUAUACGUCCUCCGUACAUGUCUUCGAAGACGUUACUAUUGAAGAGGUUAAGCUUGUAUCUAUGGGGUCUCCUGUCGACCUUGUAACCACAACGGGUUAAAAACACAUAAUCUAAAUAGAUAACAUUAAACUCGCUAUUACACUCAUCAGUGUUAUUAGAUCCUCCGAAAAGUCCUAAACUCAAACACGAUUGACAUAAAAGAGAGAGAACUAUAGUCAAGUAUAUUACUACCAUCAAUCCGGAUCCCAAAGACUAACUACAUCUUCUCGACAACGGCGGCGGACCACACCGAUGAUACUGACUCGUCUCCACCAAAGGGACGACACCAGUUGAAGUUCCGCACCUAGUGGUUUACCUGCUCCCUGCACCACCACGCCCGUUGAGGUUGCACCUAGUGGUUUAGAUGCUUGCAAACGACGGUGUAAACUUGUAAAGACACCUAUCGGCCGACCAGGCAUCUGCACCACCACGCCCGUUAAGGUUGAACCUAGUGGUUGACCUGCUUACAAACCACCGUGCAACAUUGUACAGAUGCCUAUCGACCGGCCUGCCUGCGGUGUGUUGUCCUCAAUAAUGGUUUAUUUUCCUGUAUCUAUAAAGUAAGUAAAUUGUAAAAUAAAACGUAUCUUUUUAAUUGUUAUUUUGGUUGAUUUUUAGGUCGAGACGAUAACCGUUCGCGCUUGCUCCGCCUCAACUGAUACUUUUACGGAGAAACACGAAGUGGAACCACGAAGGUAGUUUUGCAUGGUUGGAGGUUCACUUACUGAUCAAACUGCUUGAACAUAUUGUACACUGUGAAGACGAGGAAAACGGAGUGUUAUAUUCAGCAGCCCGAGUUCCGCUUAGCCAGUAGGAACAAAGUCAGCUGGAGAAAGAGCAGUACACUUUAGCUGGAAAUUUAACCCAAUAGA
rnacentral:rRNA from 1 species